rnacentral:rRNA from 1 species
UACGAAGGGGGCUAGCGUUGUUCGGAUUUACUGGGCGUAAAGCGCACGUAGGCGGAUCGUUAAGUCGGGGGUGAAAUCCUGGAGCUCAACUCCAGAACUGCCUUCGAUACUGGCGAUCUUGAGUCCGGAAGAGGUGAGUGGAACUCCUAGUGUAGAGGUGGAAUUCGUAGAUAUUAGGAAGAACACCAGUGGCGAAGGCGGCGACCUGGGCCAAUACUGACACUGAGGCACGAAAGCGUGGGGAGCAAACAGG